rnacentral:rRNA from 1 species
GACGAACGCUGGCGGCGUGCUUAACACAUGCAAGUCGAACGGAAAGGCCCUGCUUGCAGGGUGCUCGAGUGGCGAACGGGUGAGUAACACGUGGGUGAUCUGCCCCUUACUUUGGGAUAAGCCUGGGAAACUGGGUCUAAUACUGGAUAGGACCAUGCUGUAGGUGGUGUGGUGGAAAGAUUAGUUUCGGUAAGGGAUGAGCUCGCGGCCUAUCAGCUUGUUGGUGGGGUAAUGGCCUACCAAGGCGUCGACGGGUAGCCGGCCUGAGAGGGUGGACGGCCACAUUGGGCCUGAGAUACGGCCCAGACUCCUACGGGAGGCAGCAGUGGGGAAUAUUGCACAAUGGGCGCAAGCCUGAUGCAGCGACGCCGCGUGGGGGAUGACGGCCUUCGGGUUGUAAACUCCUUUCAGCCAUGACGAAGCCCUUGUGGUGACGGUAGUGGUAGAAGAAGCACCGGCUAACUACGU